rnacentral:rRNA from 1 species
GAUCCUGGCUCAGGAUGAACGCUAGCGGCAGGCCUAACACAUGCAAGUCGAGGGAGAGGUUACCUUCGGGUAACCAAAACCGGCGCACGGGUGCGUAACGCGUAUACAAUCUGCCUUUCACAUAGGGAUAGCCCGAAGAAAUUUGGAUUAAUACCUAAUGGUAUAUAGGAGCGGCAUCGUUUUUAUAUUAAAGCUACGGUGGUGAAAGAUGAGUAUGCGUUCUAUUAGCUAGUUGGAGAGGUAACGGCUCCCCAAGGCG